rnacentral:lncRNA from 1 species
ACAAAAGUCCUUCUACUUCUAUUUGAGGUGAAAAUUAUGAAUCAGACACAUAAUCGAUAGCAACAGCUCAUGGUCCUCCUGGAAUCAGAAGUUUGUUUGACUCAAUGGAGGAACGUAGUCAGAGAAAUGCUGAUGAAUGUCUUGCUCGAGCCGUGUAUGCAACUGGUUUACCUCUGAUCCUCACAGGUAAUGUGUAUUGGAAGAGAUUUCUGAUUGGUCUUCACCCAGCAUAUACCCCUCCAACCAGACAUGCUUUAUCUACUCAUUUGCUGAAUGCAGAGUUCAACAGAGUUCAAGUGAAGGUCAAGCAAAUCAUAGAGAAAGCAGACUGUACUGCAAUCAUCUCUGAUGGGUGGUCGAAUGUUCGUGGGCAAGGAAUAAUGAACUACAUCAUCUCCACCCCUCAACCAGUAUUCUACAAGAGCACAGACACAAGGGACAACAGACACACCGGUCUCUACAUUGCAGAUGAGCAUAAGGCAGUCAUCAAUGACCUUGGACCACAGAAGGCAUUUGCACUGGUGACAGACAAUGCUGCGAACAUGAAGGCUGCUUGGUCGAAAGUGGAGGAGUCCUACCCUCACGUCACACCCAUUGGCUGUGCUGCUCAUGCAUUGAAUUGGUUAGGUAUGUGAAGAGUCUACAAGUUAUAACAGCAAUCUACCUCACCAAGUAAAAUGAGAAGAAUAAGAGCACCACAUUAAAGCUGCCCAGCAACACCCGUUGGGGUGGUGUUGUCAUCAUGUUUGACAGUCUCCUGGAGGGGAAGGAGUCUCUCCAAGAAAUGGCCAUAUCACAGUCUGCCAAUAUUUACAGCUCCAUCAAGAGGAUCCUCCUGGAUGAUGUAUUUUGGGAGAGAGUGACUCUGCUUGCAGAUCUAAGAGAAGAAAUCCGUACUGCCCUGCCCACUUCACUGUUGCUCCAAGCAGAGGAAACUGCAGUUUUGGAAGCCUGAGAGGAAGACAACCAAAGCUUUAGUUUCUUGUCUAUCAUUUUACAGAUGUAUGUUGAAAACGUUUUUGGGAGAUGCGAUCGAUCAUUGGGGAUCAUUCAAUAUUCCCUUUCUUUUGUUGUUCAUUGAAAUCAUCCCAUGGGAAGAGUCAACUCAUUUAACUAAAGUAAAUUCAUAACUAAAUUGUUUUUAAAAAUGUAUAUUGGAAAGAUUUGAUCAUUAUCAAUUACACUGCUGUUCAAAAGUUUGGGGUCACUUAGAAAUGUACUUGUUUUUGAAAGAAAAUCACUUUUUUUGUCCAUUAAAAUAACAUCAAAUUCAUCUGAAAUACAGUGUAGACAUUGUUAAUGUUGUAAAUGACUAUUGUAGCUGGAAACGGUUGAUUUUUUCAUGGAAUAUCUACAUAGGCGUACAGAGGCCCCUUAUCAGCAACCAUCACUCCUGUUUUAAGGGUUAAGGUUUCUG